GACCUUAUGGCGGAGUACUUGCGGACGGGGGUUCAAUUCCCCCCGCCUCCACCA
rnacentral:tmRNA from 1 species